GUUAGGAGUGUCAUCCAACUAUCGGUGUUUACACUGAGGAAAGUCCGCCCACCAUUAAAAACCACUUCUCUUUGAGAAGAUCCAGAAAUGGAUGGCAACCGUCCAGAAACAACACGGCCUUUGUUUGUUAAGCAAAGAGAUUGCAUGGAUUAAAAGCCAUGGGUAUGUAAUGAUACCUGACAUUGUUUGUGAAAACAAUAAGAUAACCAGUCGAGCGUUUGCAAAGGAAACGAUGAAACAACGAGCCCUGGUUGGUGCAAGUCAUUAAGACGCUAAGUUGAAUGUUGGAAUGGUCUACUCUUAUCUUCGUGAAAAGAAGACCAACAGAAGGUGGCUUAUUCACUCCUAAC
rnacentral:RNase_P_RNA from 1 species